rnacentral:rRNA from 2 species
AUUCUAGAGYUAAUACAUGCUAAAAACCUCAACUUCGGAAGGGGUGUAUUUAUUAGAUAAAAAACCAAUGCCCUUCGGGGCUCCUUGGUGAUUCAUAAUAACUUUACGAAUCGCAUGGCCUUGCGCCGGCGAUGGUUCAUUCAAAUUUCUGCCCUAUCAACUUUCAAUCGUACCGUAGUGGGCUACGAUGGUUUCUACGGGUAACGGGGAAUUAGGUAUGGAAGCUCGUCAUCCCAUCGGCCCAAAACACAUGGCUAACGUCCUUUCCAGGGUUCUAUUCCGGAGAGGGAGCCUGAGAAACGUAAGCUUCCACGGUUCGAGAAUAUAUUGUUACCAUAGGCUAAUCGAUCAUGCAGGGCUACCACAUCCAAGGAAGGCAGCAGGCGCGCAAAUUACCCAAUCCCGACACGGGGAGGUAGUGACAAUAAAUACUGAUGGUGGGCUCUUUUGGGUCUACCAAUUGGAAUGAGUACAAUUUAAAUCCCUUAACGAGGAACAAUUGGAGGGCAAGUCUGGUGCCAGCAGCCGCGGUAAUUCCAGCUCCAAUAGCGUAUAUUAAAGUUGUUGCAGUUAAAAAGCUCGUAGUUGAAACUUGGGUCUGGCUGACCGGUCCGCCUCACCGCGUGCACUGGCUCGGCCGGGCCUUUCCUUCUGGGGAGUYCCUUGUCCUUCAUUGGGUGAGUGGAGGAACCAGGACUUUUACUUUGAAAAAAUUAGAGUGUUCAAAGCAGGCCUAUGCUCGAAUACAUUAGCAUGGAAUAAUAGAAUAGGACGUGUGGUUCUAUUUUGUUGGUUUCUAGGACCGCCGUAAUGAUUAAUAGGGAUAGCCGGGGGCAUCAGUAUUCAACUGUCAGAGGUGAAAUUCUUGGAUUUGUUGAAGACUAACUACUGCGAAAGCAUUUGCCAAGAAUGUUUUCAUUAAUCAGUGAACGAAAGUUAGGGGAUCGAAGACGAUCAGAUACCGUCGUAGUCUUAACCAUAAACUAUGCCGACUAGGGAUCGGACGGUGUUAUCAUUUUGACCUGUUCGGCUCUUACCNNNNNNNNNNNNNNNNNNNNNNNNNGGGGAGUAUGGUCGCAAGGCUGAAACUUAAAGACAUUGACGGAAGGGCACCACCAGGCGUGGAGCCUGCGGCUUAAUUUGACUCAACACGGGGAAACUCACCAGGUCCAGACACAAGUAGGAUUGACAGAUUGAGAGCUCUUUCUUGAUUUUGUGGGUGGUGGUGCAUGGCCGUUCUUAGUUGGUGGAGUGAUUUGUCUGCUUAAUUGCGAUAACGAACGAGACCUUAACCUGCUAAAUAGCCCGGUCAGCCUUGGCUGGCCGCCGGCUUCUUAGAGGGACUAUCGGCUCAAGCCGAUGGAAGUUUGAGGCAAUAACAGGUCUGUGAUGCCCUUAGAUGUCCUGGGCCGCACGCGCGCUACACUGACAGAGACAACGAGUUCAUCUCCUUGGCCGGAAGGUCCGGGUAAUCUUGUUAAACUCUGUCGUGCUGGGGAUAGAGCAUUGCAAUUAUUGCUCUUCAACGAGGAAUGCCUAGUAAGCGCAAGUCAUCAGCUUGCGUUGAUUACGUCCCUGCCCUUUGUACACACCGCCCGUCGCUACUACCGAUUGAAUGGCUCAGUGAGGCCUUCGGACUGGCCUAGAGGGCGCGGCAACGCUCCUUCAGGGCCGGAAAGUUCGUCAAACUUGGUCAUUUAGAGGAAGUAAAA